rnacentral:rRNA from 1 species
UUCCUACGGGGCGCAGCAGUGGGGAAUAUUGGGCAAUGGGCGCAAGCCUGACCCAGCAACGCCGCGUGAAGGAAGAAGGCUUUCGGGUUGUAAACUUCUUUUCUCAGGGACGAAGCAAGUGACGGUACCUGAGGAAUAAGCUCCGGCUAACUACGUGCCAGCAGCCGCGGUAAUACGUAGGGAGCAAGCGUUGUUCGGAAUGACUGGGCGUAAAGGGUGCGUAGGCGGUUGUACAAGUUAGAAGUGAAAUACCCAGGGCUUAACUCGGGUGCUGCUUCUAAAACUGUAUGACUUGAGUGCAGUAG